AUACGGAGGAUGCGAGCGUUAUCCGGAUUUAUUGGGUUUAAAGGGAGCGUAGGCGGGAGCUUAAGUCAGCGGUUAAAUGGUGCGGCUCAACCGUGCCCUGCCGUUGAAACUGGGUUUCUUGAGAGUGCAAGAGGCGGAUGGAAUUCAUGGUGUAGCGGUGAAAUGCUUAGAUAUCAUGAAGAACUCCGUUUGCGAAGGCAGUCCGCUGGGGCACGUCUGACGCUGAUGCUCGAAGGUGCGGGAAUCAAACAGGAUUAGAUACCCUGGUAGUCCGCACGGUAAACGAUGAUUACCCGCUGUCGGCGGCAGACAGUCGGCGGCCAAGCGAAAGCGAUAAGUAUUCCACCUGGGGAGUACGCCGGCAACGGUGAAACUCAAAUGAAUUGACGGGG
rnacentral:rRNA from 1 species